UGGUCAAGUUAUUAAGGGUGCAGGGCGGAUGCCUUGGCACUAGGAGCCGAUGAAGGACGUGAUAAGCUGCGAUAAGCUUCGGGGAGUUGCACGUAAACUUUGAUCCGAAGAUUUCCGAAUGAGGAAACUCACUUAGAGUAAUGUCUAAGUAUCAUUAAGUGAAUACAUAGCUUAAUGAGGGGAACUCAGGGAACUGAAACAUCUAAGUACCUGAAGGAAGAGAAAGAAAUUCGAUUCCGUAAGUAGCGGCGAGCGAACGCGGAUUAGCCCAAACCAAUAAAGUUUUCUUUAUUGGGGUUGCGGACAUAUCAUAACGAAGAGGUAUCGUAAUUGAA
rnacentral:rRNA from 1 species